GUGUGUGUCCGGACAGAAAGAGGCGGGAAUUCCCGCAGGUUGUGUUUGUCGCCUCCUGGCGGUCACACACACACACACACACACACACACACGCACACACACUCCUGUUGCUGCUUCGACCUUUCACUCCGCAUGAACGCACCGAGCGGAGAUGUGCGUCCCGGAGGCUCGACGGACUGAGGCGGCUCGGUGUCAGCUCUGAGCACGGAGGACCGAACAGCACCGGACCGGACCGAACCGAGCCGGACCCGCAGGAGAAGCAGCUGCUGCCUGCGGGAUUUUACACAAGUUGUCGGAGAAGUCGCUGCUGGAGGAGGAAGAGGAGGAAGCUGUCUGCAGACACAGUGUGAAGAAGAAGAAGAGCCGUGAGAGAGCAGCAACAGAUGGUUCUGGUUCUGGUUCUGGUUCUGGUGGACAUGAGGCCGGCUCAGGAAUGAGAGCUGCAGCGAGGCGCAGGCGGCUCCUCCGGCGGCUCUGCUGCUGCGGGCUCGGGCUGCUCGCGGCCGUGUGGCUCGUUCAGGUGCAGACACCAGAGACGGUCUCUUCCGGGCUUCGGUCGACCGUGAACGACGGGACGCUGCGAUGGACUCGCCGACUGAUGCAGGAGAAGUCAGACAACCAGAGCCUGGAUCAGCCCCGAGCAGCCAUCCACGAGUUUCCUGAGGACGUCUUCACGAAGGAGCAGAGGAAGAAGGGCGCCGUGUUUCUUCACGCUCUCUGUGCCAUCUACAUGUUCUACGCCCUCGCCAUCGUCUGCGACGAUUACUUCGUCCCUUCUCUGGAGAAGAUCUCUGAGAACCUGCAGCUCAGUGAAGACGUGGCCGGGGCGACUUUUAUGGCGGCAGGAAGCUCCGCCCCCGAGCUGUUCACCUCUCUCAUUGGCGUCUUCAUCACCAAAGGAGACGUCGGCGUGGGGACAAUCGUCGGCUCGGCGGUCUUCAACAUCCUCGUCAUCAUCGGCCUGAGCGGGAUCUUUUCCGGACAGACCAUCGUUCUGACGUGGUGGUCGCUGUUCAGAGACUCUUCGUACUACAUCCUCUCCGUGCUGACGCUCAUCAUGGUGAUCUACGAUGCCACGGUCGUGUGGUGGGAGUCUCUGCUGCUCAUGACCAUGUAUGGAGUCUACAUCAUUAUCAUGAAGUUCAACUCUCAGAUUCUGGCGUUCGUGACGCGGCAGCUUCGGAGCGCGAGGCCGUGCUGCCCCGGAUCAGACGAUCACACGGACGACAAGAUGGGCGAGGACGCCUCGGCGUGCAACACCUCCAUGGUUCUGCUCAACAAAGGUCGGGCCUGUGGGCAGGAGCCUGCUCCGGUUAUCAUGGUGGACGAGCUUCUCAUCCUGAACCCGCACAAACUGUCGUUCUCCGAGGCCGGCCUGCGGGUCAUGAUCACCCCUCACUUCUCGCCGCGCACCAGGCUGUCCAUGGCGGGACGCGUGCUCAUCAGCGAGAGACAGAGGCUGAUCCAGAGCUCGAAGAACCAAUGGGACGGCGAGGCUGGACCCGGGUCAAGACGCGGGUCAACCAGCAACAGCCUAAAGAGGACGGAGUCCUGCAGUGUGGAGAACGGAGGCAAGGGACCCGCGAUGGGAGACGUAGAGUCCGGAGACAAGCUGGGGGUCGAGGUGUGCCAGCCGGAGGAGGACGAGGACGGGAUCUUCAGUCCUGUGCGCAUACCAGGAGGCUGCUGUGCGCGGGUCAAGUGGGUGAUCACGUGGCCUCUGGGCCUCCUGCUCUACUGCACUGUGCCCAACUGUAUCCUGCCACGCUGGCACCGCUGGUUCAUGGUCACCUUUGUGGCCUCCACCCUGUGGAUCGCUGUCUUCUCCUACCUCAUGGUGUGGAUGGUCACCAUCAUCAGCCACACACUAGACAUCCCGGACUACAUCAUGGGCAUCACGUUCCUGGCGGCGGGGACGAGCGUGCCGGACUGCAUGGCGAGUCUGAUUGUAGCUCGACAAGGCAUGGGGGACAUGGCGGUGUCUAACUCCAUAGGAAGCAAUAUCUUUGACAUCCUGCUGGGUUUGGGUUUCCCCUGGGCUUUGCGUACCCUUGUGGUGGACCACGGAUCAUCAAUCUCCAUAAAUAAUAAAGGACUGGUGUAUUCUGUCAUCCUGCUGCUGGCCUCUGUCUUUCUGACGGUGAUGAGCGUUCAUCUGAACCACUGGAGGCUGGAUCGCCGGCUCGGUCUGGGUCUGCUGUUCCUCUACGCCAUCUUCCUGCUCUGCUCCAUCCUGUUCGGGCAGAUGUGACGAGGCCCUAAAGGUCGAAGGUCAACCCGUCAGACCGCAUGCUGAGCACUCACCUGUCACCAAAAAAAAGAAAAAGCGUGCUCGUCGUCGUUGUUCUUUUUUGUCAGACUGUGAUAAUCAGUCUGAACAGCACCAAACCAAACGGGUCCGGUCCGGUGUCGUCGUCGGUUUCACAGCACUCUGAAUGUUCUGUUUGUUCUGCUGUGACAUGUUGGACAUGUAUUGGUUAGAGCUGUAUGAGGUCAUAGGACUGUUGUUGUUUGGUCCAAUAAAAACAAACUGUGCAACAA